AACGAUGUCUACUUGGAGGGUUGUGGCCUUGAGCCGUGGCUUUCGGAGCUAACGCGUUAAGUAGACCGCCUGGGGAGUACGGUCGCAAGAUUAAAACUCAAAUGAAUUGACGGGGGCCCGCACAAGCGGUGGAGCAUGUGGUUUAAUUCGAUGCAACGCGAAGAACCUUACCUACUCUUGACAUCUACAGAAGCCAGCGGAGACGCAGGUGUGCCUUCGGGAACUGUAAGACAGGUGCUGCAUGGCUGUCGUCAGCUCGUGUUGUGAAAUGUUGGGUUAAGUCCCGCAACGAGCGCAACCCUUAUCCUUGUUUGCCAGCACUUCGGGUGGGAACUCCAGGGAGACUGCCGGUGAUAAACCGGAGGAAGGUGGGGACGACGUCAAGUCAUCAUGGCCCUUACGAGUAGGGCUACACACGUGCUACAAUGGCGCAUACAGAGGGCGGCCAACUUGCGAAAGUGAGCGAAUCCCAAAAAGUGCGUCGUAGUCCGGAUUGGAGUCUGCAACUCGACUCCAUGAAGUCGGAAUCGCUAGUAAUCGUGGAUCAGAAUGCCACGGUGAAUACGUUCCCGGGCCUUGUACACACCGCCCGUCACACCAUGGGAGUGGGCUGCAAAAGAAGUGGGUAGUUUAACCUUCGGGAGGACGCUCACCACUUUGUGGUUCAUGACUGGGGUGAAGUCGUAACAAGGUAACCG
rnacentral:rRNA from 1 species